rnacentral:lncRNA from 1 species
AUGAUGAUUGCGAAAGUCUGCUCCAUGUUCGCCGCGUUUUUCGUGUGUGUUAAUUUGGUGUCCCCGAAUUCAGCACUUGCGAUCAGCGGUCCCGCCAGAAUCGCAAAUAUCAACGGAAUAGCCCUCCUUAAAACCGAUCUCUCCAAGGAAGCCGCAGAUCAGGAUGACGAAAAUAUCGACGCGAACCUCCAGAAAAGAGGCUUGAAGGAUCUCUUCGGCAGCAUAGCCAACCGGGGCAACGGUAACACUUCGAUCAACAACUCCCGUAUCAUGGAGGGCAAGAACGGUUCGAUCUAUUUCAGCAGUAACAACUUUGGUCCUUCCUCGUCGAAGCGCCGAACUUCGCCGCAGAGGAUUGGAGACUUCAACGGAUCCGUCUUUGAAGACAGUUGGGGUUCGUCGUCCCCGAAAAGGACCCCCUCGAGAAGCGGCGGAAAGCCCCCGAGGCUGCAGAAAAGCCCCUCCAAGGGCUCCAGGUCGCCUAAUGGAUUGGCCAGGUCUAACUCGAAACUGGGACGAACCGCUAACAUCAAUAACAACUCGAAAUCAGCCAAGGGUAAUUAUAGAGGUAGUCUGUUUUUGGGACUCCCUAUUUAGAGUACCUUUAUGGGAAAGUGCGGACAUGUUUAUAAUUUUAAGGUUAGGUCGUGGAGCUUCUAGGGCUUAAGGGGGCAGUCAACCAAUGAAUUCAAAUUAUCCAGAAUGAUUUAUUAUUACAAUUGCUACGACCCGUAGUUAGUGAAGCACGUAUUGGACUCAAUUUUCGCAUAAAUUUACUCAUUUUUCGGAAGAACGCUCAUUUAUAAACACUUUUGGCCUCUUUAGUUCAAUUUUGGUCCUAGACAUUCGUCAACGUUUAGGAGAAAAUCAUGAGAAUAUUUAAAUUUUUAGCAAAAACUGGAAGAACGAUAGGCAUCGAAGGGCUCGGUGCAGAAAGGGCAUUUCUUGGUUGCGGUGUCUCAGGAUCUCCGUUAACGUUUCAUACAUACAUGCAUACAUAAGACACGCUCUCUGGCGCUCUGCGACGCCUAACCGCCACAAAACUCGGUCCUCCCAUAGGUCAUCAAGGAGUCGGCACUCCCCCAUCUCAUCCAUAACCCCCUGUCGCCAACCUUUCACCGGGCGUCCCCUUCGUCUCCUCCCAGAAGGAACCCAAUCAAGCAUCUUUUUUGGCAGCCUCUCUUCCGUCGUCCUAUUGACAUGACCGUACCAGACAAGCUGCUUGGUCAUGACGUGGAACACGAUAUCAUUUUCGACUUCCAUUAUCUGACUCACUCUAUCAUUACGGACCCGAUCUCUCCUAGAAAUUCCUGCUGGCCUUCCUCCAGAAAUCCAUCUCCGUUGCUCUUAGCAUAUCCUGUGUCCGUUUCUUCAGCUGCCAAACUUCACAUCCGUACGUUAAUAUUUAAGUUAACGUUUCAUCCACUUUAACUAAAGCGAAUGCUUGGAAUUUGUCAAAACUUUUACUAGAUUUUCUUUUUUAUUUUACUAUUCUGAAAAUUAAUAAUUUCAGAAAAUCAGCCCAAUCGUUUCCUAUCUAAUCUCGAGUUCUCAAGAUUAGCAGUGGAGAUUCUGAAACACCGCAACCAAGAAAUGUCAUUUUGCACCUAAUGCCUCAAUUAAUUAUGGCGGUUGCUUCCUGGAAUUGAUGUUGAAUGAAUUCCAAGUUUUAACCGCCUGAAUAAUUUUAUCGGUGAAUUCUUUUUUUUCUCAUCCCUUGCAAACCAAACACAGAGAAAACUAAGAAAAAACAGGCGAUUUUUAGAUUUGAAAAUACUAUGAAAUCUGUCAUGUAUACCUCUUGCUAAUACACAAUUUGAAAAUAACACAGGCAAAGGCAACGGUCAAGUGUACUCCCUCCCGCCAAACGUCCCGUUGAGCUCGGUGUUUAGCAAUUCAACCGACUGGAACGGGCAGUACGUGAGCCACGACGAUGACGGCCUCUACUUCACGGUAUUGAGCCCAGGGAACCUCGACAUCCAGGUGCAUAACAGAGCAGUCUACGUCAACGGAAAGUGCGUCUGCGGCGACAUCAGAAAGCUGGAUCAGAAGGCGCAGCACCAGAUCUGGAAGGACGGUUCCGCCUGGCACACGAAUCUAAACCUUGGCCGAAAGAUGAACCCGCAGGAGGAGAAGGCCUUCGAGGCCAAGGUCCAGAGACUCGAGGCGGAGAGGAAGGAAGCGAAGAAGGCGGCCAGGCAAGCGAGGGAGGCGCGCAAGAGGGCGAGGGAGGCGGCCAAGAAGGUGAGGGAGGCGGCUCGUGAGCGAAGGAUACGCCAGAGGCGUAGUACCAUGGACUGGAACGCGGACGAUGCCUACUGGGAUAGGUUUGAAAGAGAAAUGGAGGAGACUGUUGCGAAACCUCUGGAGAACAUGAGCAUGAAGAUGGACGCUGCUGCACGGAAGAAAGAAGCUGAUAUGGAGCGUAGAAUAGCCGCCAGGAGGGGACGGGGCGUAGUCGAUGAUGAUGAUUGAGCCGAAUUUUCCACAAGCAAUGAAGUUCCUGCAAAAACGGAGAAUAAGGGCAUUCCGGGAAAACCGAGAAAUUUCAGGGCAUUUAAAAAAGUCAGGGAAAAUCUGGAAAUGUCAGGGACACAUUGUUUUGUUCUUUGCUGUCUAGAACGGGUUUGUCGUUUUGAACAAUAAAUUUUGCCUGAAAACUGUUUCUAAUUUUGUACCUACUAUCUGGCGUAUCUUCAAUUGUCAGGGAAUUCCACUAAAAUAUCGGGAAAAUUAAGGAAAUGUCCGGGAAUUUCUUUCUGUAAAUUCGGUAGCAACCCUUGACCAGGACAAACCGGGAUUUGUAAAAGUUUCACUAAAGUAUCUGUUAUUUAUGCGUGAAUGUGGAUCAUUGAACGAUAGUACAAGGGAAUUUACGUCAUUUUGAUCAGGCAAAAGGGCGGGGAAAAUUAGGACUUAUUCUUUUUCGAAGUUAGUUAACAUCAUAGCUCUGCGAUUGUCCGAAAUGAUUGAAUAAACUCAUUUUUCUCCUUUUUUCGUUUUUGAACACACCUUAUUCAUUGCUCUUUUCUCUCUAGUAUUUUAUUUUUUUUACGAAAAAAGAAAAAUCACUGUACAGCAAAUACUGUCAAAAAAAUCUUCCAAAAUUUGGAAAGGAUAUCGUAAUGAAGUGUCACACCGAGUUGAUGGAUGCGACUUUCAGAUUUUUCAUUUUAAGUGUACCUAUGUGAAAUGGGAAGCGUCGCUCAGUUUUGCAAUUUAUCUGCCAGUAUUGGUUUCUCGCGUGACUUUUAUUUUUUGAUCUUUGUAAAAUGUGGGGGAGACGAUUUGCGCAAGCCUUUUUGCCCCAACGCACAGACCACGUAACUGACUACUAUGAGAUUCCAUGGGUGCCGCAUAAAUCAGAAAAACGGUGCAUGAAGUAUUGGUAAAGUUAUGAAGGUAAUGUAGCAUCGCGUCCAUGAUGUUGGACUCCAUGAUCACCCAUAUAAUGUUUGGUUGCUCAUCAAGAUCUUGGACUCCAUGCUCACUUUGAUGAGUGAUUUGUGGGAUGCAGAUAUUCUCUGACCAUACACGAGCGUAUGUUCCAAAAAUUUAUUAAGACAAUUUUUGUGAAAUAAACACGUAAAAAAGUGUUUUCGUAAAAAAUUAUGCAUUGGUUAGGUUAAGUUAGAUUAGUUUAGGUUAGGUUAGGUUAGGUUAGGUUAAGUUAAGUUGGAUCAGAUAAAAAAAAAAGUAUACGAUUUUCUAUAAUGAUGAACUUUAAAAGUAAGAACGGUCUACUUGCUAUUGGACUCCAUGCUCAAGCAAAGUAGUGAAAAGUUUGGCGAUGAGCAUGGAGUCCAAUAUCAUGGACGCGAUGCUACAUAAUCGUUAUGAAAUCCAUCCGUAAAAGAUCAAUUUGGCAACUUGAAAUAUCUUAUGGGUAACUAAAUUGCGUUGAUGAGUUUUUGUGAAAAAGGCAAAACUAUUGGACGUCAUCACGCAAAAAAGUAAUCUGUCUGCUUUUAGAGGUUUGAUUAAAAAAGACGUAACUGCCCACGCACUACAGAACGGACUCACGAUGUUCUUCAAAACUUUAGAUGCAGACAGAUCACUUCUUACUCGGCGCAAUCUAGUUUUAACUGCUUUCCUGCUUAUGGACGAUAUUAAUAGGUUAAAAGCCUUCAUGCGGUUUUUCUGUGAUGCGUUGGCGUAAAUGAAGCCUGUUCCUGGAAUUUACAGUACAUGAGUACAUCAAUCAUAACUUCGUCGAUAAAAAUGAAAAAUUGGAAGAAGAGAGACAGAGAAAAAGAGGAAAAAGGGAUAAAAGGCUCAUCUCAUGAGCUGUAUAUAUACAGGCGCACUUACCUCUUAUCUUCCUAUCUGU